GGGGAAUUUUGGACAAUGGGCGAAAGCCUGAUCCAGCCAUGCCGCGUGAGUGAAGAAGGCCUUCGGGUUGUAAAGCUCUUUCGGCGGGGAAGAAAACGCAUUCUCUAAUACAGGAUGCGGAUGACGGUACCCGCAUAAGAAGCACCGGCUAACUACGUGCCAGCAGCCGCGGUAAUACGUAGGGUGCGAGCGUUAAUCGGAAUUACUGGGCGUAAAGCGUGCGCAGGCGGUUUUGUAAGACAGGCGUGAAAUCCCCGGGCUCAACCUGGGAAUGGCGCUUGUGACUGCAAGGCUAGAGUACGGCAGAGGGGGGUGGAAUUCCACGUGUAGCAGUGAAAUGCGUAGAGAUGUGGAGGAACACCGAUGGCGAAGGCAGCCCCCUGGGCCGAUACUGACGCUCAUGCACGAAAGCGUGGGGAGCAAAC
rnacentral:rRNA from 1 species